CUCAGGGAAACUUGAGCUAAUACCGCAUAAUGCAGCGGCUCGACAUCGAGACAGUUGUUAAAGCGGGGGAGUUCGCAAGAACCUCGCGCCUGAAGAGAAGCCUGCGGCAGAUUAGCUAGUUGGUAAGGUAAUGGCUUACCAAGGCGACGAUCUGUAACCGGCCUGAGAGGGCGGUCGGUCACACUGACACUGACAUACGGGUCAG
rnacentral:rRNA from 1 species